ACGAACGCUGGCGGCGUGCUUAACACAUGCCAGUCGAACGGAAAGGCCCUGCUUGCAGGGUACUCGAGUGGCGAACGGGUGAGUAACACGUGGGUGAUCUGCCCUGCACUUCGGGAUAAGCCUGGGAAACUGGGUCUAAUACCGGAUAGGAGCCAUUUUUAGUGUGAUGGUUGGAAAGUUUUUUCGGUGUAGGAUGAGCUCGCGGCCUAUCAGCUUGUUGGUGGGGUAAUGGCCUACCAAGGCGGCGACGGGUAGCCGGCCUGAGGGGGUGGACGGCCACAUUGGGACUGAGAUACGGCCCAGACUCCUACGGGAGGCAGCAGUGGGGAAUAUUGCACAAUGGGCGCAAGCCUGAUGCAGCGACGCCGCGUGGGGGAUGACGGCCUUCGGGUUGUAAACUCCUUUCGCUAGGGACGAAGCUUUUUGUGACGGUACCUAGAUAAGAAGCACCGGCUAACUACGUG
rnacentral:rRNA from 1 species